UACAGAGGUCUCAAGCGUUGUUCGGAUUCAUUGGGCGUAAAGGGUGCGUAGGUGGCUUGGUAAGUUUGAUGUGAAAUCUCCGGGCUUAACCCGGAAAUGGCAUUGAAUACUAUUGAGCUGGAGGUUUGGAGGGGGGACUGGAAUUCUCGGUGUAGCAGUGAAAUGCGUAGAUAUCGAGAGGAACACCAGUGGCGAAGGCGAGUCCCUGGACAACACCUGACACUGAGGCACGAAAGCUAGGGGAGCAAACAGG
rnacentral:rRNA from 1 species